GCCCCCAUCGUCUAGCGGCCUAGGAUUCUUGGUUCUCAGCCAAGCGACCGGGGUUCGAGUCCCCGUGGGGGUA
rnacentral:tRNA from 1 species